GUGCAGUCAAUUAAGCCGACCAACCACUGGUGCUGUCAGUGGCUGGUGUGCACUGUCUGCACACAACAAUAUUCCCUCGGUUGUGUACGUGCCCUGUUCGUUGUACAGUGCACCUUAAGGGACCUUGGGAACAUAG